rnacentral:rRNA from 1 species
GAUGAACGCUAGCGGCAGGCCUAAUACAUGCAAGUCGAACGGUGUAGCAAUACACAGUGGCGCACGGGUGCGUAACACGUAUGCAACCUACCUUACAUUGGGGGAUAGCCUUUCGAAAGGGAGAUUAAUACCGCAUAAGACAGUAACUGGGCAUCCAGUAGCUGUUAAAGAUUUAUCGAUGUAAGCUGGGCAUGCAUCCAAUUAGUUAGUUGGCGAGGUAAUGGCUCACCAAGACGAUGAUUGGUAGGGGAACUGAGGGGUCAAUCCCCCACACUGGCACUGAGAUACGGGCCAGACUCCUACGGGAGGCAGCAGUAGGGAAUAUUGGGUAAUGGGCGCAAGCCUGACCCAGCCAUGCCGCGUGCAGGAAGAAGGCGUUAUGCGUUGUAAACUGCUUUUAUACAGGAAGAAACGACCCUUGCGAGGGGCAUUGACGGUACUGUAUGAAUAAGCACCGGCUAACUCCGUGCCAGCCGCCGCUGUAAAAC